rnacentral:rRNA from 1 species
UACGGAGGGUGCAAGCGUUGCUCGGAAUUAUUGGGCGUAAAGGGUAGGUAGGUGGUCUCAUUUGUCUGGGGUGAAAGCCUUGAGCUUAACUCAAGAAGUGCCCCAGAAACGGUGAGACUGGAGUCCUGGAGAAGGUCGUGGAAUUCCCGGUGUAGCGGUGAAAUGCGUAGAGAUCGGGAGGAACACCAGAGGCGAAAGCGGCGACCUGGACAGGCACUGACACUCAACUACGAAAGCGUGGGGAGCAAACAGG